UACCUUGAUAGUUUAAAUAAAACAUCAGUCUUGUAAACUGGUAAUGAAAUUAUUUUCUCAAGGUAUC
rnacentral:tRNA from 1 species